UACGAAGGGGGCUAGCGUUGCUCGGAAUCACUGGGCGUAAAGCGCACGUAGGCGGAUUGUUAAGUUAGGGGUGAAAUCCCAGGGCUCAACCCUGGAACUGCCUUUAAUACUGGCAAUCUCGAGUCCGAGAGAGGUGAGUGGAAUUCCGAGUGUAGAGGUGAAAUUCGUAGAUAUUCGGAGGAACACCAGUGGCGAAGGCGGCUCACUGGCUCGGUACUGACGCUGAGGUGCGAAAGCGUGGGGAGCAAACAGG
rnacentral:rRNA from 1 species